AAAUAUCAUAGUUUUGCACUGUUUAUGUCCAAUAAUUGACCAUCUGAUUUAUUUGAAAAUUUUUUACGAUUAGUAUUUUUAUUGUUAUUAGAUGAUAAAAGAUGAAUAGUACUUUAUGUGUGACUAUUUUUUAUUUUUUUAUAUAUUUUUCAAAUAAGACAGUGGUUAAACGUUGGACAAAGAAACACACGACUGCAUUGAAG
rfam:Oryza glumipatula chromosome 6, whole genome shotgun sequence.